GGGGGGGGGGGGGGGGGGGCGGGGGACGGGCGGGGCGGGCGGGGCGGUCGGGGGGGGGGGCGGACGGGGGGGUAGCGCGGGGGAAUGUGCCCUUCUCUACGGAAUAGUCCUGGGAAACUGGGGGUAAUACCGUAUACGCCCUGUGGGGGGAAGAUUUAUCGGGGGAGGAUUAGCCCGCGUUGGAUUAGGUAGUUGGUGGGGUAAUGGCCUACCAAGCCGACGAUCCAUAGCUGGUUUGAGAGGAUGAUCAGCCACACUGGUACUGAGACACGGCCCAGACUCCUACGGGAGGCAGCAGUGGGGAAUCUUAGACAAUGGGGCCAACCCUGAUCUAGCCAUGCCGCGUGAGUGAUGAAGGCCUUAGGGUUGUAAAGCUCUUUCAGCUGGGAAGAUAAUGACGGUACCAGCAGAAGAAGCCCCGGCUAACUCCGUG
rnacentral:rRNA from 1 species